GAAAUGCGAUACGUAAUGCGAAUUGCAGGACCUCGUGAAUCAUCAAAAUUUUGAACGCACAUUGCGCUUUUGGGUAAUGCCCAAGAGCAUGCUUAUCUGAGUGUCCCUAAACCCCACUCAACCACUGCAGCAUAUAAAAGUGCUGCAGUGAGUUGGACUCUGACUUUGCGAAGCUUCAGCCAAGCUCUGUUGAAAUUCAUUAAGUUUGUUGUUAUGUCUGGGCAGUUAGCUCUGCAGGUCUUAUACAAACGCGACAAAGGAUUCGGUAGUUGAACUUUGGUUUAAUGAUUCUUAUCUUGAGUUGCGGGAGUUAAAGACCAACCAGUCAUAAUAACAAUUUGGGUCUGCCUUGUUCGCGCUUGGCAUUCCUGCUUUGAAUGUAAUUUAUCUAUGGAUCUCAGAUUAAGUAAGACUACCCGCUGAAUUUAAGCAUAUAACUAAGCGGAGGAAAAGAAACUAACAAGGAUUCCCCU
rnacentral:rRNA from 1 species